rnacentral:misc_RNA from 1 species
AAGUCGUAACAAGGUUUCCGUAGGUGAACCUGCGGAAGGAUCAUUAUCGAGUUAGGGUCUUCAUGGCCUGACCUCCAACCCUGUGUUUAUUAUACCACGUUGCUUCGGCGGGUCCGUCUUUUAUCGGACCGCCGGGGGUCGGCAGACUCCUCGGCCCGCGCCCGCCGAUGGCCCCCAAUAAACAUCAUUAUACAACGUUGUUCUGCGUUCUUAAAUUAAAUUAAAACAAAA